rnacentral:rRNA from 1 species
UACAGAGACUGCAAGCGUUAUUCGGAUUCACUGGGCGUAAAGGGUGCGCAGGCGGUUGGGUGUGUCAGAUGUGAAAUCCCGAGGCUUAACCUCGGAACUGCGUCUGAAACUACUCGACUAGAGUACUGGAGAGGGUAACGGAAUUCCCGGUGUAGUGGUGAAAUGCGUAGAUAUCGGGAGGAACACCAGUGGCGAAGGCGACUUCCUGGCCUGUUCUUGACGCUGAGGCGCGAAAGCUAGGGUAGCAAACGGG